AUUCUUGGUGAUCUGGACCAGAUUGUUAAUGGACCUGAAGUCUUGAGCAAGUUUGUUGGUGAAACAGAAAAGAAUGUUAGAGAUCUGUUUGCUGAUGCUGAAAAUGAUCAGAGGACUCGCGGUGAUGAAAGUGAUUUGCAUGUCAUAAUCUUUGAUGAAAUUGAUGCUAUUUGCAAGUCGAGAGGAUCAACCAGGGAUGGUACUGGAGUUCAUGACAGUAUUGUGAAUCAACUGCUUACAAAGGUACAUG